rnacentral:rRNA from 1 species
AUAUAUUCGUUCAAAUCAAUUCUAGCACUAGCCCUCCUUGUUGUUCUCGUGCCAUCCUCCCAUGGCGUCACGGACUUGGUGUCGUCGUCACCGCGGCCGUUCAACGGCAGCGGCGGUGGUGGCUUCAGCCUCCGGCUCAUCGCCAACGACCAGCCAGCACACUACGACUUGGCGAGCCUCCAACGUGCCAAGGACCAGGUAAAGUGCAGGAUCAAGCACCAAAUCCUGCCAACGGUCAAUGAGAUACGGCCGUUCAUGUGCCGGCUGGACGAUAUGAUGUACGCCGUUAUGGUGGGCGUCGGCACGGGGGCUGGGUUCCAGAAUUACCAGCUCGCGCUGGACAUGGCGGGCGGCUUGUCCUGGAUGCAGUGCUUGCCGUGCCAGCCCUGCCUGGCGCAGCUCAACCCGGUGUUCGAUCCAACCAAGUCGCCGACCUACAGCACCGUCCCGGCACACAAUACCCUCUGGUGUCGUCCUCCCUACCAAGCUUUGCCAAACGGGGCGUGCGGGUUCCGCAUUGAAUAUCGGGACACCACCGGGGCUUCGGGGUACCUUGCCAGGGACACCUUCUCCUUCCCGACCGGGAACAACCAGUUUGUGCCACUGGAGGGCGUCGUCUUUGGCUGCGCCCACCGCACCGAGCACUUCCAUAACCAGGACAAAGUCGCCGGCAUCCUCAGCUUGGGAAUGGGACCGGUGGGCAAGCCUCCGACAGCCUUCACGAAGCAGGUCCUUCGAUACCACGGCGGCCGCUUCUCCUACUGCCCGUUUAAGCCGGGGACAAGCCUGUACAGCUACCUCCGGUUUGGUAACGACAUCCCUAGCCGUCCACCGGCGGGCGUGCACCGCCAGAGCACGCCCGUCCUUGCGCCGGCCGAGAACAGAGAGGCCUACUUCGUCAAGCUCGCGGGGAUCACCAUCGGCGUCAACCGACUGCGCAGCGUCACGCCGGACAUGUUUCGGCGCACCGCACACGGGACGGGCGGGUGCGUGAUCGACAUCGGCACGAAGAUGACGUCGUUCGUGCAUGCGGCGUACGUCCACAUCGAGCAGGCGGUGCGGCAGCACCUGGAGCACCACGGAGCACAUAUCGUGGUGGUCCGAGGCCACAAGUGCGUGCAGCACCCAGCGGCGCACGUCCUCCCGAGCAUGACGCUCCAUUUCGAGAAUGGCGCGUGGCUCCGGGUGUUGCCGGAGCAUGUGUUCAUGCCGCUCGUCGUCGGCGGCCACCAUUACCAGUGCCUUGGCUUCGUCUCGUCCACGGACCUGACGGUCAUCGGCGCCCGGCAGCAAGUCAACCAUCGCUUCAUCUUCGACCUCCAUGAUACCAUACCCAUCUUGAGCUUUAAUGCGGAGGACUGUCACCUAGAAGGCGCCUGA